AAAUUGAAGAGUUUGAUCAUGGCUCAGAUUGAACGCUGGCGGCAGGCCUAACACAUGCAAGUCGAACGGUAACAGGAAGCAGCUUGCUGCUUCGCUGACGAGUGGCGGACGGGUGAGUAAUGUCUGGGAAACUGCCUGAUGGAGGGGGAUAACUACUGGAAACGGUGGCUAAUACCGCAUAACGUCGCAAGACCAAAGAGGGGGACCUUCGGGCCUCUUGCCAUCAGAUGUGCCCAGAUGGGAUUAGCUUGUUGGUGAGGUAACGGCUCACCAAGGCGACGAUCCCUAGCUGGUCUGAGAGGAUGACCAGCCACACUGGAACUGAGACACGGUCCAGACUCCUACGGGAGGCAGCAGUGGGGAAUAUUGCACAAUGGGCGCAAGCCUGAUGCAGCCAUGCCGCGUGUAUGAAGAAGGCCUUCGGGUUGUAAAGUACUUUCAGCAGGGAGGAAGGUGUUGUGGUUAAUAACCGCAGCAAUUGACGUUACCCGCAGAAGAAGCACCGGCUAACUCCGUGCCAGCAGCCGCGGUAAUACGGAGGGUGCAAGCGUUAAUCGGAAUUACUGGGCGUAAAGCGCACGCAGGCGGUCUGUCAAGUCGGAUGUGAAAUCCCCGGGCUCAACCUGGGAACUGCAUUCGAAACUGGCAGGCUUGAGUCUUGUAGAGGGGGGGAGAAUUCCAGGUGUAGCGGUGAAAUGCGUAGAGAUCUGGAGGAAUACCGGUGGCGAAGGCGGCCCCCUGGACAAAGACUGACGCUCAGGUGCGAAAGCGUGGGGAGCAAACAGGAUUAGAUACCCUGGUAGUCCACGCCGUAAACGAUGUCUACUUGGAGGUUGUGCCCUUGAGGCGUGGCUUCCGGAGCUAACGCGUUAAGUAGACCGCCUGGGGAGUACGGCCGCAAGGUUAAAACUCAAAUGAAUUGACGGGGGCCCGCACAAGCGGUGGAGCAUGUGGUUUAAUUCGAUGCAACGCGAAGAACCUUACCUGGUCUUGACAUCCACGGAAGUUUUCAGAGAUGAGAAUGUGCCUUCGGGAACCGUGAGACAGGUGCUGCAUGGCUGUCGUCAGCUCGUGUUGUGAAAUGUUGGGUUAAGUCCCGCAACGAGCGCAACCCUUAUCCUUUGUUGCCAGCGAUUAGGUCGGGAACUCAAAGGAGACUGCCAGUGAUAAACUGGAGGAAGGUGGGGAUGACGUCAAGUCAUCAUGGCCCUUACGACCAGGGCUACACACGUGCUACAAUGGCGCAUACAAAGAGAAGCGACCUCGCGAGAGCAAGCGGACCUCAUAAAGUGCGUCGUAGUCCGGAUUGGAGUCUGCAACUCGACUCCAUGAAGUCGGAAUCGCUAGUAAUCGUGGAUCAGAAUGCCACGGUGAAUACGUUCCCGGGCCUUGUACACACCGCCCGUCACACCAUGGGAGUGGGUUGCAAAAGAAGUAGGUAGCUUAACCUUCGGGAGGGCGCUUACCACUUUGUGAUUCAUGACUGGGGUGAAGUCGUAACAAGGUAACCGUAGGGGAACCUGCGGUUGGAUCACCUCCUUACCUUAAAGAAGC
rnacentral:rRNA from 1 species